rnacentral:rRNA from 1 species
AUUGAACGCUGGCGGUAGGCCUAACACAUGCAAGUCGAACGGCAGCACAGAGGAGCUUGCUCCUUGGGUGGCGAGUGGCGGACGGGUGAGGAAUACAUCGGAAUCUACUUUUUCGUGGGGGAUAACGUAGGGAAACUUACGCUAAUACCGCAUACGACCUACGGGUGAAAGCAGGGGAUCUUCGGACCUUGCGCGAUUGAAUGAGCCGAUGUCGGAUUAGCUAGUUGGCGGGGUAAAGGCCCACCAAGGCGACGAUCCGUAGCUGGUCUGAGAGGAUGAUCAGCCACACUGGAACUGAGACACGGUCCAGACUCCUACGGGAGGCAGCAGUGGUGAAUAUUGGACAAUGGGUGCAAGCCUGAUCCAGCCAUACCGCGUGGGUGAAGAAGGCCUUCGGGUUGUAAGGCCCUUUUGUUGGGAAAGAAAUCCAGCCGGCUAAUACCUGGUUGGGAUGACGGUACCCAAAGAAUAAGCACCGGCUAACUUCGUGCCAGCCGCCGCGGUAAGAC